CCUACGGGAGGCAGCAGUGGGGGAUAUUGCACAAUGGGGGGAACCCUGAUGCAGCGACGCCGCGUGGGUGAAGAAGUGUCUCGGUGCGUAAAGCUCUGUCAGCAGGGAAGAAAAUGACGGUACCUGACUAAGAAGCCCCGGCUAACUACGUGCCAGCAGCCGCGGUAAUACGUAGGGGGCAAGCGUUAUCCGGAUUUACUGGGUGUAAAGGGAGCGCAGACGGCAGAGCAAGUCGGAAGUGAAAGCCCGGGGCCCAACUGCGGGACUGCUUUGGAAACUGCCUGGCUGGAGUGCUGGAGGGGCAGGCGGAAUUCCUAGUGUAGCGGUGAAAUGCGUAGAUAUCAGGAGGAACACCAGUGGCGAAGGCGGCUUACUGGACAGCAACUGACGUUGAGGCCCGAAAGCGUGGGGAGCAAACAGGAUUAGAUACCCCGGUAGUC
rnacentral:rRNA from 1 species